rnacentral:tRNA from 1 species
GCCUUCGUGGCUCAGCGGUAGAGCAUCGGACGCGUGAUCCGAAGGUCGUGGGUUCGGUUACCACCGAAGGCA